GAGGAAGAAGACGCCGCAGCAGGAAGUCACCAUAGGACGUCACCACAGCAACAACAGGACCAGGUGACCUGAUGUCUCCACCGUGCAGUCGGUCAUGUACGUAACGUCCAGGCCGUAAGUUCAUAUGCCACGAACAGGAAGUUGCCAGAAAUGAGUUGCACUUUCCACCUGCUGGUUUCCCGCAGCGACAUCUAUCGUGGCCAUUUCCUGCUCGUCCUGUCUCGACAAUGCUUGUUGCUCAGAGCACUCAGCUCUGCCCCCCGGAUCAGCCGCAGCCUGCAAGAGAGCUACAGGCUUCUGCAACUGCCCGAUGGGGGCCGCAGCAGUCCGGCGCAGGUGAAAGAGGCCUACCUUCGCCUGGCGAAGCUCUACCACCCCGACUCCGGGACUCCGACUUCAGAUGCAGCGCUGUUUGCGCGUGUUGAGGAGGCCUAUCGUGCUGUGCUGGCACAUCAGAGCAAGACUAAGCGGGCUGACUGGGGGAAGGAUGAGGAAGAUGAGGAUCAGUUCAAAGGUGCAGUGCUUCAACACAGACAGUACCUCAGCUACGAUGGUGUGGGCUCAGGCACGCCCAGCGAGCGUGAGCGGCAGUACCGGCAGAUUCGUGUCGACCGGGCAUCCGAGCAGGUUUUGAACUACCGGCAGAGGGAGCACGAGAGGGCGGCUGCUGCAGAGGGAGCGUUGGUGGAACGGGAUACGCGUCAGCGCAGCAAGAAGAUCAAGAUCACCCAGGCCAUUGAGCGGCUCGUGGAGGACCUGAUCCAGGAAUCCAUGGCCCGUGGGGACUUCAGGAACCUGAGUGGAGCCGGAAAGCCCCUCAACAAGUUCCAGCAUAAUCCGUUUGCCGAUCCGAUGACCCACAACCUCAACCGCAUCCUCAUAGACAAUGGUUACCAGCCGGCCUGGGUGGUGAUGCAACGCGACAUCCGAGAGGCCACAGCUCAGAUCCGAAAGAGGCUACUGGAGGGGAGGGCCAGGCUUGGCGACCCCAUGGCCCCCGGGGAGCACGGCCAAUGGGAUCAGCUGUGUGCAGCUGCAGGGGAGGAGUUGGCAAAACUUAACAAGACGGUGGACAAUUACAACCUCAUCGUACCGAUGCUCAACAUGCAAAUGGUUCACUUCAGUUUGUCCAGAGAAAUUGAGCGUGCCGCGAAAGGAGCACAGCAACGCAGGCUGGAGCAGAGGGAGAGGGAGAGGGAACGAGAGUGGAGGAAGGAGGAGAGAAAAAGAGACAACGCAGUUACUGAGCCCAAAAACACCAAACGAGGACUCGUGUCUUGGAUGCAGGAUUUAUUCAGAUGAAAACACUACAGCUCUAAAUCUAUGUGAACAUCAAAAAACUUAAACCAAUAAUUUUUGGCAAUAUUUCAGACAGACCUGUUCGCCUGCUGUAUAGUGUAACCAUCGUCUGAGUCGAUGGUUGCACUCUUUUACUCUUUUACAUCUGAACACAACAGUGGGUUAUUUUUAGGAUACAAGCUGUUUCUGUGAAAUUACUGAUCUUGAAAUGGGACCCUAACACUGUAGCUUUUGACAUUGUGACAUUUGAAGUUAAGGUGAUAAAAAAAUCUAACGUUUAUGUGUUGAGACCGUUACAUUAUUUGUGAUGCGGCAAACGUGUCUGUCCGCUGAUCCAGUGCUGCAGGGUUGCAGAUGACGACCGGUUCCCCGCUGCCAGCCCACACGCCCGCAGCCUCCCUGUGCAGGGCCCGGGCGACGGCCCUGGUCGGAGUCAUCACCUUGGUCCAGUCACGGGCAAUGUACUGGUGGUAUGGAUCAUGGGAGCUUGCCAGCUUCUUGGAGCGAAUGAAGCUGAGCAUGAUGCCGAAUGUGAAGAAGCUGAACAUGCCGACCACCAGGACGAUGUACACGAUUCCCUGAGACUGAGCGCGGGCCCAGGCCCUGGUCGUGUGGUGCACAGCCUGAUGGGCGGUGUCGUUCCGAGUUGCAGGCGGAGACAGAAUACUUGUGCCGUUGAGGCAGUGCUGGAGUAAGGACAGCAGGAGCGACUGCAGCUCGGUGGCGUUGAUGUUGGACAUGGCGAAUCCUCUGUUGGAUGCUCGGCAACCUGCAACUGAGGAGGAAGAAGAGACUUGACGUGCUCGUCAGCCAUAGCCAGGAAGAGGGUGCGGUGGAAGGUGCAGCGGUACGUCCCUGUGUCAUUGACGCUGACGUUGUGGACGUAAACGGCUCCUGUCUGAAUGUCACCGCUUCGCGUCCCAUGCCACUCAAGGCGCUUGCUGAAGUCUUCAUGCAGGAUCUCGGCACUGGGGUGGUCGUAGUGGAAAAUCUGAGAAAAAUCAAUUUAAUGAAUAGUCUUAUUACUCAGAGGAGGGAUCUAUACCCUCUUUUAGAUGUCCUGCUCUUCCCAGUAUCAAUUUAGUGCUGCAAUUUCUCUUCAUAUACACGUUUAUGCCCCACGUUCAUGUCCUCUCACACAGCAAGAACUUUUGGAGCCACUUUCUAUUGAUGCACCAGUUAUAAAGGCUUCUAUGAUCAGUGAGCCAUUACUAAUGCUUUAAAAAUCAUUUUUGGGUUGCUAGAUUAUGUCAUUGAUUCAUUGUGGACGCCUCCAAUGGACUGCUUGACAUAUUCAAUUUGAGUAUUUUCCUUUUUAGACAACAUAAUUCUUCAAAUCAACCCUUCUACUCAAUACUUUAUACCCUACAUUUACCUGAGGUACUUGUUAUUUUAUAGAUGACAAAACAUUCUCCUGCAGGUUGCAGAACAUCUGGACCUUAACAUUCAUAACUGACUGGACGGAUCAUUGUAAAACCCUUUAUUAAUGAUCCAUUAACAUUCAUAGUUGACUGAGUAACUCUAGCUUAUGAUCUAUUAUACAUCUAAAAAGCCAUUGCUUCAAUAACAGUUUAACUAUCAUUUAUAGCUGCAAAUAAGAGGAUUUAUUGGAAAGCAAGAAACAUUGUUGUUAAUCAUUUACAAACAUUCAUAACUUCAUAGUUUCGAGGGGCCUCCCUCGUGAAUUUAAGGGCUAGCACAGAGUCAGGCUGGCGGUGGAUAUUCCACAACCUGGCAACCUAAAAGUGGCUGUUAUUAACAACAAUUUAUCCAUUUACAGCAUUUUUAAACGGUGCCUUUUCAGAAAGGGGCACCAAUAUGUUAUUUGUGUGAAAGCAAUUUGUGUGUAAACAUGAAAUGGUAAGAUCUCACUUAAUCUAUACAUUUUGGAUGUGAUCAUGUCACCGCUUGUAAAUGUAAAGUCAUGUAACAUCUUUUUGGGAUGAAAAGGUUUUAUGGAGAGAUGGAAAAUUAAGAUGAAAAUGUAUAGAUGGAAAAAAGUUCUUCCUUCUUGAUACUCAGCUUCGACGGCACAGAAUCAGAGUUGCUUAAGGGCAUCGUGACAGUAGGAUAAAUCAUUUUUCAUUCACAAACCAAUAACUGAUUUAACAAACAACCCAAUACCAAAUGAAUCAAAAGACUUUGUUGGACUCACAUGCCUGAACUCCUCCUCUCCCAGUGGUUUGAAGUGCCAGUCGACGGUGGCUCUGGCAGAGACCUCCUCUCUUCUUUUACACGAGAUGCAGCCCAGAAGAAAUCCUUUUCCUGCCACGGCCUCAGUCAGGGAGUCCACCUCCGCACAGCCGCCAUGGCACUGGCACACUGCAGGAGG